rnacentral:rRNA from 1 species
UACGUAGGGUGCAAGCGUUAAUCGGAAUUACUGGGGGUAAAGCGUGCGCAGGCGGUUUUGUAAGUCUGACGUGAAAUCGCCGGGCUCAACCUGGGAAUUGCGUUGGAGACUGCAAGGCUAGAAUCUGGCAGAGGGGGGUAGAAUUCCACGUGUAGCAGUGAAAUGCGUAGAGAUGUGGAGGAACACCGAUGGCGAAGGCAGCCCCCUGGGUCAAGAUUGACGCUCAUGCACCAAAGCGUGGGGAGCAAACAGG